AUGCCAGGACGCCACUUGGAUUCAAACCUCCAUUUCACAUUUUCACUGCUCCCCCACGAAAUCCCUAGACUACCCCUGCCCUCCCGGGUCUCCUCCUCCCUGGGCGGAACGGAGCUGUGGCCAACCACACCCCUCCCCCCUCCCCCCUUCCCGUCCUUCCCCCAGCUCAGCUUCCUAGGGUUUCCUCCCGAUCCAACCCCGACCUCCAUGGCCAAGACCAAGCAGGGCAAGAGGGACAUCGACUCCUACACCAUCAGGGGCACCACCAAGGUCGUCCGAGUCGGGGAUUGCGUGCUGAUGCGGCCGUCGGACACGGACAACGCGCCCUACGUGGCCCGGGUGGAGAGCCUGGAGUCGGACGGUCGGGGGAGCGUGCGGGUGCGGGUCCGCUGGUACUACCGGCCGGAGGAGUCCAAGGGCGGCCGCCGGCAGUUCCACGGGGCCAAAGAGCUCUUCCUCUCCGACCACUUCGACACGCAGAGCGCACACACCAUCGAGGGCAAGUGCAUCGUUCACUCCUUCAAGAACUACACCAAGCUCGACAACGUCGGCCCGGAGGACUUCUUCUGCCGAUUCGAGUACAAGGCGGCCACCGGAGCGUUCACCCCCGACCGUGUCGCCGUGUACUGUAAGUGCGAGAUGCCGUACAACCCAGAUGACCUCAUGGUGCAAUGCGAGGGAUGCAAAGACUGGUUCCAUCCAACCUGUAUGGGAAUGACCAUUGAGCAGGCCAAAAAGUUGGAUACUUUCCUGUGUGCGGAUUGUGCUAAAGAAAAUGGUGCAAAGAGGCCUUCAAAUUCAUACCCGAGUUCACCAAGUUCUGAUUCUAAGGUUGAGCCGAAAAGGCGGAAAUGGUAA
rnacentral:rRNA from 1 species